UGCAGACUCUUCUGACUGCAGCACCACACUUCUAAGCAGACCUUUUCCUUCUGUUCAUCUUCUGUAGCAUGAUGCAACGGAUUGGGAAAGCCAGGUGCCAAGAAGGCAGCUCUGGAGGUCCAGAGGGAUCUAAGGAGCAUGACUCAAGAUUGAGCCAUGGACUUGGUGAGCAGUGCUUACUGGGACAAGAGGAGUCUCUAUUUGAUUAUGCUUCUGGAGCAAGGUGCAAGAAGAGGACUAAAUAUGAUUCAAAUACUUCUCAGGUAUGUGAAUAAAACGUAGUAAUAGAGAGAGAUCACUCACUGGAUUAAAAUGAACAUGUUUUAGUAAUGAAAACAUCCUUUUUGGAGCCCUGGAUAUGCUGCUUGAGCCGUUUUAUGGUAUGACUUGCUUAAAGUUAGUUCAGCUGCUGCAGGUUCCAAGUGUUUUCUGGAGUGACUUUGCAGCAGAGUAACAGUUCUGUGUUGUACCAAUCAUUAAAAAACUAGCCUGCAGAAAACACAGAUGAAAUAUAUGGAAUUAUACAUAAUUAUAUCACUAACAUUUAUUUCCCCUAACUACACUGUUUGACCUUCAUUCAAAUCAUCAGUAAGUUGAAAAUUUUGGAAUUUCUAAGCCGAACUGAAAAGGAGAACAUGUUGUGAUAUUUUAGUUCAGCAAAAAGAUGAAGGAUUGUGAGGUAAUACUAGGUAUUAGGCUAGGAGGUUAUCAUUUUCUUUCAUAUCCUACUUCAGGUAUGAAGAUAAAGCCUUUUGAUCCACUCAGGGUGUUUCAAUUUAAAAAUAAAUAAAUAGGAAAAAUGUCCA
rnacentral:lncRNA from 1 species